rnacentral:rRNA from 1 species
AAUAUUGGACAAUGGGGGCAACCCUGAUCCAGCCAUGCCGCGUGUGUGAAGAAGGCCUUCGGGUUGUAAAGCACUUUCAGUGGGGAGAAAAGUGAUUCACCUAAUACGUGAGUUAAUUGAUGUUACCCACAGAAGAAGCACCGGCUAACUCCGUGCCAGCAGCCGCGGUAAUACGGAGGGUGCAAGCGUUAAUCGGAAUUACUGGGCGUAAAGCGCACGUAGGCGGUUAGUUAAGCUAGCUGUGAAAUCCCCGGGCUUAACCUGGGAAUUGCAGUUAGAACUGGCUGGCUAGAGUAUGGUAGAGGGGUGUGGAAUUUCAGGUGUAGCGGUGAAAUGCGUAGAUAUCUGAAGGAACACCAGUGGCGAAGGCGACACCCUGGACCAAUACUGACGCUGAGGUGCGAAAGCGUGGGGAGC